rnacentral:rRNA from 1 species
GACGAACGCUGGCGGCGCGCUUAACACAUGCAAGUCGAGCGAGAACCGGCCCUUCGGGGCCGGGGAAAGCGGCGAACGGGUGAGUAACACGUGGGUAAUCUGCCCUCGGCAUCGGGAUAGCCCGGGGAAACCCGGAUUAAUACCGAAUGGCCCUUCAGCUCCUCGGAGCGAAAGGAAAAGGUAGCUUCGGCCUCCGGCCGAGGAUGAGCCCGCGGCGGAAUAGCUUGUGGGGGGGGUAACGGCCUACCAAGGCGACGAUCCGUAGCUGGUCUGAGAGGACGAUCAGCCACACUGGGACUGAGACACGGCCCAGACUCCUACGGGAGGCAGCAGUGGGGAAUCUUGCGCAAUGGGCGAAAGCCUGACGCAGCGACGCCGCGUGCGGGAAGAAGGCCUUCGGGUUGUAAACCGCUUUCAGGAGGGACGAAGCCACUCGGGUGAAUAGCCCAGAGGGUGACGGUACCUCCAGAAGAAGCCCCGGCUAACUACGUGCCAGCAGCCGCCGCUGUAA